GACGAAAGCAGGCGGCGUGCCAAUACAUGCAAGUAGAACGCUGAAGGAGGAGCUUGCUUAUCCGGAUGAGUUGCGAACGGGUGAGUAACGCGUAGGUAACCUGCCUGGUAGCGGGGGAUAACUAUUGGAAACGAUAGCUAAUACCGCAUAAGAGUAGAUGUUGCAUGACAUUUACUUAAAAGGUGCAAUUGCAUCACUACCAGAUGGACCUGCGUUGUAUUAGCUAGUUGGUGGGGUAACGGCUCACCAAGGCGACGAUACAUAGCCGACCUGAGAGGGUGAUCGGCCACACUGGGACUGAGACACGGCCCAGACUCCUACGGGAGGCAGCAGUAGGGAAUCUUCGGCAAUGGACGGAAGUCUGACCGAGCAACGCCGCGUGAGUGAAGAAGGUUUUCGGAUCGUAAAGCUCUGUUGUAAGAGAAGAACGAGUGUGAGAGUGGAAAGUUCACACUGUGACGGUAUCUUACCAGAAAGGGACGGCUAACUACGUGCCAGCAGCCGCGGUAAUACGUAGGUCCCGAGCGUUGUCCGGAUUUAUUGGGCGUAAAGCGAGCGCAGGCGGUUAGAUAAGUCUGAAGUUAAAGGCUGUGGCUUAACCAUAGUACGCUUUGGAAACUGUUUAACUUGAGUGCAAGAGGGGAGAGUGGAAUUCCAUGUGUAGCGGUGAAAUGCGUAGAUAUAUGGAGGAACACCGGUGGCGAAAGCGGCUCUCUGGCUUGUAACUGACGCUGAGGCCCGAAAGCGUGGGGAGCAAACAGG
rnacentral:rRNA from 1 species